rnacentral:rRNA from 1 species
GACGAACGCUGGCGGCGUGCCUAAUACAUGCAAGUCGAACGCAGUGGGGACGGGUGAGUAACCCGUGGGUAACCUCCCAUCAGAGGGGAAAAGACUUGGAAACAGGUGCUAAACCGAUACUGAUGGAUGGACCCGCGGUGCAUGAGGUAGUUGGUGAGGUAACGGCUCACCAAGGCCACGAUGCAUAGCCGUCCUGAGAGGGGGAUCGGCCACACUGGGACUGAGACACGGCCCAGACUCCUACGGGAGGCAGCAGUAGGGAAUCUUCGGCAAUGGACGAAGGUCUGACCGAGCAACGCCGCGUGAGUGAUGAAGGUCUUCGGAUCGUAAAACUCUGUUAUUAGGGAAGCGGUACCUAAUCAGAAAGCCACGGCUAACUACGUGCCAGCAGCCGCGGUAAUAC